rnacentral:rRNA from 1 species
UAGGGAAUUUUCCGCAAUGGGCGAAAGCCUGACGGAGCAACGCCGCGUGAGCGAGGACGGCCUUCGGGUUGUAAAGCUCUGUUCUUGAGGAAGAAUCCCGCGGAUGUGAACAGCAUCUGCGGUUGACGGUACUCAAGGAGAAAGCCCCGGCUAACUUCGUGCCAGCAGCCGCGGUAAUACGAAGGAUUCGAGCGUUAUCCGGAUUUAUUGGGUUUAAAGGGUGCGUAGGUGGACUAAUAAGUCAGUGGUGAAAGCCCGCAGCUUAACUGCGGAACUGCCAUUGAUACUGUUAGUCUUGAGUACAGUUGAGGUGGGCGGAAUGUGUCAUGUAGCGGUGAAAUGCUUAGAUAUGACACAGAACACCGAUUGCGAAGGCAGCUCACUAAGCUGUAACUGACACUGAGGCGCGAAAGCGUGGGGAGCAAA